rnacentral:tmRNA from 1 species
CCUCUUCCCAUGCUGUCAGGAAAACACUAUAUCAACCCUUGCCGGUCUUCGGACCGGAUAUGGCGAUAAAUGAGCGGUGUAAUAAACCUAUUGGACCCGGGGGCGGUACCCGGCGCCUCCACCAAAAACAGCCGGUUGGCGACUGCUUUUGAUGGGGGCGAAAUAGGAUCGACAAGGGUGUAAAGAUCGUCUUUUUGCUCGGCAUGAUACCGCCGUUAUCGGGUCACAAGUGUAGUUGCAAACGACAACAACGCUAAGGAAUACGCUCUCGCUGCCUAACGGCGGUGCGGGAAUUCCGCUCCAAGUCCUCUAGGUUAGCCCCUUGAGGCGGGGUCCGAAGGCACCUGGCAACAGAAGCCUUCACC